AGAGUUUGAUCAUGGCUCAGAUUGAACGCUUGGCGGCGUGCCUAACACAUUGCAAGUCGAGCGGUAACAGGUGUAGCAAUACAUGCUGACGAGCGGCGAACGGGUGAGUAAUGCUUUGGAAUCUUCCCAGUAGUGGGGAAUAACCAGUCGAAAGAUUGGCUAAUACCGCAUACGUCUGUAAAGGGAAAGCGGGGGCUCGUAAGACCUCGCGCUAUUGGAUGAGCCAAAGUCGGAUUAGCUAGUUGGUGGGGUAAUGGCCUACCAAGGCGACAAUCCGUAGCUGGUCUGAGAGGACGACCAGCCACACCGGAACUGAGACACGGUCCGGACUCCUACGGGAGGCAGCAGUGGGGAAUAUUGGACAAUGGGGGAAACCCUGAUCCAGCGACGCCGCGUGUGUGAAGAAGGCCUGCGGGUUGUAAAGCACUUUUAGUGGGGACAAAAAGCUACGGACUAAUACUCUGUGGUCUUGAUUUAACCCAAAGAAAAAGCACCGGCUAACUCUGUGCCAGCAGCCGCGGUAAUACAGAGGGUGCGAGCGUUAAUCGGAAUUACUGGGCGUAAAGCGCGCGUAGACGGUUUUGUAAGUCAGAUGUGAAAUCCCUGGGCUCAACCUGGGAACUGCAUUUGAAACUGCAUGGCUAGAGUAUGGAAGAGGGAAGUGGAAUUUCCGGUGUAGCGGUGAAAUGCGUAGAUAUCGGAAGGAACACCAGUGGCGAAAGCGACUUCCUGGUCCAAUACUGACGUUCAUGUGCGAAAGCGUGGGGAGCAAACAGGAUUAGAUACCCCCGUAGUCC
rnacentral:rRNA from 1 species